rnacentral:rRNA from 1 species
GUCCACGCCGUAAACUAUGAUUACUCGUUAUUAGCGAUAUACAGUUAGUGACUAAGCGAAAGUGAUAAGUAAUCCACCUGGGGAGUACGAUCGCAAGGUUGAAACUCAAAGGAAUUGACGGGGGCCCGCACAAGCGGUGGAGCAUGUGGUUUAAUUCGAUGAUACGCGAGGAACCUUACCAGGGCUUGAAAGUUAGUGACCGGAGUGGAAACACUCUUUUCAGCAAUGACACGAAACUAGGUGCUGCAUGGCUGUCGU